rnacentral:rRNA from 1 species
UGGUGGAGUGAUUUGUCUGGUUAAUUCCGAUAACGAGCGAGACCUCAGCCUAUUAACUAGUUGUGGGAAUCCACGGAUUUCUUUUAGCAACUUCUUAGAGGGACUAUCGGUGAGUAGCCGAUGGAGGUUUGAGGCAAUAACA